rnacentral:sRNA from 1 species
GCAACGAAAUCCUGAUAUCACUCCUCUGA